rnacentral:other from 1 species
UAAUGCCUGUGGUGUUAAUGAACUUCGAGUUUAAUUCGAACCGAACACCAAUUCACUUCAGGAGCCUAACAUUAAAUGGCCAACAACAUGCCUGUUUACAGGAAGUUGAAAUCCAUUUUGCCAGCACUCACUUGCCUAGGGCGGGUUCGUGAAAUAUGGAAGAUAACCGCACAUGCGGGCGUUCA